CUCGGCCGCGCCCGCCGCGGGCCCGCGCCCCUCCCCGCUCCGCUGACCUCCCCGCGCCUCCUUCCCGCCCCUGCGGUCCCCGGCCCUGUCCUCUCCUUCCUCACGCCCCGACGCCUCUUGGCCCCAGUAACGCCCCGGGGAAGCUCCCGAGAGAGCGGCGGGGUCCGAAGCCUGCUGUCGCCCGAGCCGCUGGGCCGGCCCGGCCGGAACGCCCAGCCUCUCGCUGCCCGACUGGGCGGAGCCGUCCCGGCGCAGACGCGGCGCCCGAGAGCUCUCGGCGGCCCCCGGGCGGGCUUCGUGGCGCGGGCGGCGGGACCGGGUGAGGCCCGGCUGCUCCAGGCUGGGCACAGCCAGCCGGCGGGCGGGGCCGCGAGCGCGCACCUGGCAGAGCGGCUUCCCCCGAACCUCGGCCUGCAUGCGGGGCGAUGGGUGGGGGUGGCGGGUGGACUCGAGCAGAGGCAAGAAAAGCUCUGACGGCCUCGUUCCAAGCCCGAAAAGCGCCCCUCGCGGUCCGCCGGCUGCCUGGAAGCCUCACCCUGCCGGCUGCGCCAAGGACAGCAGCAGGGUUGCAAACGUUGUUGCCAAGUCCAGGCCCUGGCGGGUGGGCGACGCGCGCGGGGGCGUGGGGGAGUGGGCCCCUUCCCGGCAGCCUCCACCCGGCGCUUCUUUCCCCACAGCGCAGAGGACCGUGCUUCAGACAAACGCCGCGCGGCUCAUACCGGAGCAGAGGCAGUCAAGCUUCUGUCCGCGAAAAUCUGGAUCCUUUAGAACCCGAGCAAUGUACUCGUGUGGGAAUACAAAAACAUUUCCCGCGGCGUGGCUUUGCACCGACAUAGGUACAGGCCCGAAGUGCUCCCCCACGCCCUGCCGGCGCCCGGGAGCCACAGGGGGAGUUCGCCUCGAGCUGACCGGGCUGCAGAGGGCGGGCAGCUCCCAGAAAUGCACUAAUUGAGUCACAAACCACGGGCCGCCCCUAACAAAGCGAUCCAUCUCGGCCGCUCCGCGCCCAAUUUGUCCGCAGUACUUUCUUCCGCAAUUCAGAAGCAUUAUCUUGUUUUUAGAAGUAUCGCGGCAGAAACGUGGCAAUUAUCCUGGGCUCGGGUUACGCUAAAUGGCUUUAGGCUGAGAAAUGGAAGAAUACAAAUGCCGCGAACGUGCUGAUCGCCUCGCUGCCAGGCCUGGACCUGGGGUAGGGGAAGCGAGCCAGAAGAUUACGGAGGGGAGAGGGAGGUCCGGCGCAAGUGCCCACUCUUGGCCCACUCCCAAUGGCACCGGCCAGAAAGAAGUGUUGGGCCUUUGUCCCUAGAGGUUAAGGAUUCUGAGCGAUGAACCCUCAGAGGUUGGGAGAGAAGGGGUCAUAUUCUAACAUCACCCGGCUAAGCUUCUGGCCUCGGCUUUGGGUCAGGAACAGGUUGGGAGCUUCAGGCACUGAUGAGAAAGGUGCUUGGCAUCUGAUGUUGAGUGCGUCUUCUGGCUAAGUCUGGCGCUUGGCGAGUCCCUGAGCCUGAGCCUUCUCAGAGCGCAAUUGAAGUCGGCCCUUUUCCUCCAGGUGGCCAACCCACCUUCUUCCGCCUACCCGUGCCACCCUUAGACGACGCCUCCACUCAGCAUGGCGGGGUCCCGCUGACAGAGCCGACGCCCUGGCGGGACUUCAGAGUCUGCUCGCCCGGCGCUGCCUGGGUGCCCGACAUCAGCACGCUGUGUCUGUGAAACUUCGGAGCGCCUGGUCCCGGGCAGAAAGAAAUAGGCACAGGCACCCAGAGCCAUGCGGGAGGGAGGGGAACCGGAGAGAGAAAUACAGAGAUCCAGAGGUGGGGGUAGGGGAGAGAGAGACAGAGACAGAGGAGAGAGAGACAGGAGAAACAAUGAGAAGAAUGAGACAGUGAGAGAAAGAGCGAGAGUGAGAGAGAGAGAUAAGAGAGAAAGAAAGAAUGAGAACCAGAGGUUCACACAGAAUGAACGAGUUUCUUCUUUCAGAGUGAAAAGAGAGAAUGAGAUAGAAAGAGACACAGAGAAAGACACAUUCAGAGAGAGACCAGACGUGGGGACACACAAAGAGGGAGAGUGUAACCCCUCCAAAUACACACCCCCCAGUUCUGUCCCUCUUCACUCUGAGCUCCCUCGCAGCGGUGUCCCUCAGUCAGUCUCUGUCUCUCCCUUCCCUGACCCCGGGACAAUGUGCAGACUGUAAUUCAGGAGGCGCGCGGGGCGGCGGGGUUUUCAGCAGCCAGCCGCGCGCGGCCCGCUCUGUUUGUCCAGGUGUGGGCGGGGGGCGGCCGGCCGGCGUCCUGGGCUGGCGCUGGGUUUUCGCACCAAGGAAGCGGGAGGCCCUGCUCGCGCGCUUCCCGCUUCCAGGAGAAAACUCCCUCCUUCCCUCCAUACAUAAAUAUAUUAGGGGAACAGACAAAUCUUCAUUGUUCAGAAAUAAGCCGAGGAAGCCGGCCGGCUCCCCUUGGCCCGGCGGAGCGAGGCUGGAAGAGAGGGAGGGAGACAGGCGGGGGCCGCGCGGAUCCGGUGUCACGUUGCAGAUUCCCACUAAAGAUAACGAAACGUGAUCUAUUUUUCAGAACAGCAAGUGGAUGGGAAAGAACCUUGACAACACAAAACUCAUUUACUAAUGGACUGGUUUUGGGUUUCUCUUCUCCGGGUCCGCAAAUCGCCCUGCCUGAGCCCUCGGCCUAUUCAGACCUCGCGGGGAGCGGCGUCCCCCAGGAGGCAGGUGGGCGGCUGCUCCGGCCGCCGGCCUCGGGGAGCCCCGCAUCCCAAGGGUCGAGGGCACCCGGAGUUUCCGACCAAGCAGAGGAAAAAGGAUGGAUGCUGUCACUUCAGCCAGGAUUUGGGCAGUCUCUGCACUGCCGCAGAGCGACGACGCUAAUUUGUUAAAGAAACGCCUCCUGUUGCCUUUCCCUUCCAAAUAUACGUAGCUAGAGCAGGAUCCCCGCUGUCGUUCUUGAUGGCGAAGGAAUUCCAAGAAAGCAGGCCGUGAGCCCCAAAAACACCUCGCUCUAAGCCAGAAGGGAAAUAAGUGGGUCCCAGUCAGAGGUUUUUUGAACCAAGGCCUUAUGUCAACCCAGCCGAGAAACCCCAGCAGCAACCAGUGCCUCCGCAUUGGCCUUUCCAUUGACCAAUUGUGCGCACCCGGCCAUUACCUGCGCAGCAGAGGCACAGAAGAGCCGAAACCCGGCGUCGGGCGCCCCUCGCCAGCCGCGUUACCCUCGGGAGCCACGGAGCGGCGGGGGCAGCAGCUGGAGUUGCUCGUUCCCUUUAAAUCUCCGACGCAUCUCUGUUUUUCGUGUGAUUUGCAUUGACAGCAAAGGUUUUAAGUUACUAGAACAACUCUAACCUUUCUGUGCGCGAUUUAAAAUGGAUCAUUUGGUUUAUGUGGUUUGUAAAUUCAUGUCAUUUUACCUCUUUUAGUGGUUUUCAGUGAAAGGUUCCAUUUUGGGAAACCUUAUAUAUCCGAGCCAAUAAUUAACAUUUAUAACAAUUGGUUACCCUGACCAAGAGAUCGAAAUAGCAGGUAGGCUCGAUGGUACAAAGCGAAUAGCACUUUUCUUUUCUAGUUACGGGAUCUGUUGGAUUAAACACAAGGAGAAAGGCUGGCGGCCCGGCACAGCCUCCGAGAAGGAGCACCACUUCUCACUGACCCCAGGGCCCACAAUCACAGCACCCACACGGUUGUCUUCCCAGUUGUCGCCAACGUCUUGUAUGUCCUCAUUCCUUUUGAAGAGAGAAGAAAAGAAGUGGGUUGAGAGGUCUGGAGGAAGUCGAAAUGAAGGUGGUCACAUCGGUGUCUAAUUGCCUUCUCUCUGCUCCCGGUCAUCCCCUGUGAAUUUAUACCCGCCCUCCUUGGCCAGGCUAUGCCUCAUUUCCUUAUACAAAAUUUUUAAUUAUAAAGUACACCCCAUGCUCAACUUACCGUUUGUCUUUUAAGAGACGUAGCUGUACUUACAGCCGCUCCCCUGCCCCCCAUACACAUUGUAAUUCUGCGCACUUGCUCCAGACUUUAGGGUAUUAACUGAUUUUUAGAGCCAGUUUAAGCCUCUGUGCUGGUCCUCACACAGCUGCCAUGUCAAUAAGGAUUGUUCCAAGCAGAGACAUUCCUUCUGGCAGGACGGACACUACAGCUCCUUAAGACUUCAUCUGAAACAUCCUGAGCACUAAAAUAAGAUGGUGAGGGAAAAUUACCAGACACAUGGGCUUGCGCUCAGCUGUGCCAGGUUCUAGUUAAGAAAGUAAGUCAUUGGGCACACCAUGUAAUAGGUAAUAACUUUUGAAAUAAUAUGCAC
ensembl:lncRNA